UUAAAAAUCAGAGCCCCAAAUUAACCUACCAUUUCUUUUCUUAGCUGCAUGUAUCCCAUUCCCAACAUGCUCCGCCAGAAACGUCUUCUUCUCCUUUCCCACAUUCUGAUCGCAACCAUCGCCGCCCCGCCUGAUUUCUUGCACUACCUCUGCGUAAACACCGGCCAUACCACGUUUAACACGGGCCAUACCACGUUCCAGAAGAACCUCGACAUCCUCCUCCCUUCCCUUUCAUCCAACAUCGAUAAGCAUGGGUUUUACAGCUUCUCUAACCGGGGGGCUUACGCAAUGGCGCUCUGCAGAGGAGACGUUCCGCUGGAAACUUGCCGCAGUUGUAUUGACGACUCCACCAUGAAGCUCACUCAAGUCUGUUCAAACCAUAAGGAAGCAUUCGGAUGGUACGAUUACUGCAUGCUCCGUUACUCAGACAAGUCUAUGGAUGGAAUUCUGAUCAGUAUGCCAGAAGAUCGGAUUUUCUACAUGUGGAACGUCAGUGAUCGAUCGAGCGUAGCGGAUCAUAAAUUCAACCAGACGCUGGCAAGCUUGUUGGACAGUCUACGGGGUAAGACAGCUUCUGGUGGCGAUCGCCUGAAAUUUGCCACGGGGAUCGCCGUUGUUCCAGACUUUGGUUGGAGUAUCUAUGGGCUUAUGCAGUGCACGCCAGAUUUGUCCGAGCAGGAUUGCGUGGAUUGCUUGGUUAAGGCUGCCGAGAGACAAGAUUGUUGCGCCGGGAAGGUGGGAGGGAGAGUUGUCGGACCCAGCUGUAAUUACAGGUUUGAGAGCUACCGGUUCUUCAACGACACUCCGGCGCCGCCGACCGACACACCGUUGUCCUCAUCAGUUGCUUUAAUUUCUCAGUUGGCAAGACAAAAUUAUUAUAUUCAAGAAAAGGAAGAAAGCUUUCUUUGAUAGAUGCCCAUCUCCAGUCACCGCCACCUGCCGGUGCACCGCCGUCCUCGCCAGCUAGAAAGAAAGGUGAGAAAUUGGUGGAGUCGAAAAGAACAAGAAACAUAUUGUUAGGUACAUCGCACUGGUUAUAUUUCCACACAUGCGAGUUCUUUUGGGUUAGCGUGUUGUGACUCGGUGAGGUCGCUCCCACUUGAGGUUUUCUUUACAGGUUGCAAGUUUAGUCUGCACUGGCUCACUCAGGUAAGGGCAAGGGUAAGAUUGGGAAUGGUCCCAAUGAAGUUGAACUUCGUAGAUGGUGUACAGGGCAGGUCGAGUUAGCUUUAUCUUAUGCCUUUUUGUACUUUGAGACUUUGGGGAUUAUGACGUCUUCUAUGGCGGGUUGUGGUUUGUUUUUUGGUUUGGAUUUGUCUUUGGCCAGGGAUUGUAAAUGUAACCUUGUUGGGCCUGUGGUGUUUUGUUAUGCAUGCCGUGUUUUGGAUUUUGUUUCAUUUUUUUUUUUUCAGAUUCAUGAUCAGGUAUAUUUGAAUGUGAGGUGCAUGCAUGACAAGUUUUGUAUUCAUUAUUCGAGGCACCUGCUCGGGUUCUAUGGCUAGUUUGGGGGACCUGGGUCGGGGUCCUACAUAUACAAUUAUUAAAGUAUUGCUUUUAGUUGAACAUCGUUUUUGGUGUAACUUAUUAGUAAUUAACACUUAGAUGCCAUUUUUGGUGUGUAAAUGCUAACGGAUAAUGAUGUUUCUAUGGUUGAACAUAUAUUACUUUGGUGUAAUUUGAAUGACAAGU